CUGCUACUGUGAACAGACUUUGCAUACAAUCAGGCCUGAGUGUUAGAUUGUAAAUUCCUUUGGGCAGGGACCUGUCAGCCCUCAAUUAAUAGCUGAUAUUCAGGCCCAUUUGUACAUAUUUGUCAGCUGAGAUGGCAAUUUGAAUCGCACUGCCUGAGAUAACUUUGGAAACUUAACCUGCAGCUCACAGCGGGGUGAACACAAAUAAAGCAUGAAGCCAGAUGAUCAAUUCUGGACACUCUCGAGCAUAGGAGGAGUGUUGUAAGCAAGACGCAAGAAGUGGGAUUUGGAAGCCUAAAUGGAAAAUGUAGAGUGAUUAAUGUUAUAACUAUGGAAUGCUGUUUAAAUGUUAUUUUACUGGCUGACCAUUUCAUGUAAUCUGUUCUGAUUAAAACCAGACUAAUAUAUUUGUGUUA